rnacentral:rRNA from 1 species
AUAUCAAUAAGCGGAGGAAAAGAAACCAACAGGGAUUGCCUUAGUAACGGCGAGUGAAGCGGCAAAAGCUCAAAUUUGAAAUCUGGCGCCUUCGGUGUCCGAGUUGUAAUUUGAAGAAGGUAACUUUGGAGUUGGCUCUUGUCUAUGUUCCUUGGAACAGGACGUCACAGAGGGUGAGAAUCCCGUGCGAUGAGAUGCCCAAUUCUAUGUAAAGUGCUUUCGAAGAGUCGAGUUGUUUGGGAAUGCAGCUCUAAGUGGGUGGUAAAUUCCAUCUAAAGCUAAAUAUUGGCGAGAGACCGAUAGCGAACAAGUACAGUGAUGGAAAGAUGAAAAGAACUUUGAAAAGAGAGUGAAAAAGUACGUGAAAUUGUUGAAAGGGAAGGGCUUGAGAUCAGACUUGGUAUUUUGCGAUCCUUUCCUUCUUGGUUGGGUUCUCCGCAGCUUACUGGGCCAGCAUCGGUUUGGAUGGUAGGAUAAUGAUUAAGGAAUGUGGCUCUACUUCGGUGGAGUGUUAUAGCCUUGGUUGAUACUGCCUGUCUAGACCGAGGACUGCGUCUUUGACUAGGAUGCUGGCAUA